rnacentral:lncRNA from 7 species
GAUGGGCAUGGCCGAGAUCGACUAGUUUCAGCGGCAGGGGUCCAAGACCAAGACAACGAAUCGCCGACCGAUCCCAGAUUCCUUUGUUAAUCAGCAGAGCAGAGGCCUUCGUUCCAUGCUUGCUGCUGUGCUGCCUGCUGGUGGUACUCAGUAACCAGUAGAGUUUAGACUACAGUACCAGAGAGACGGACGGACGGCGAGACCUCCGAUAUCGUCAUGCUGUUCUUGUACAGGAGACAGCACAAAAAGGGAUCGAGAAGAUGGAUCAGGGAGAAGAGAGAGGACUCACUCGUGUUUCUUGGCUCGUGCAAAUUUGCCUUUUGGUUUCGAGUGCAAAAUUGGACCACUAAGAUAAAGGGGUCUCUUCGAUUGGCGGGCUCAGAAAUUUGGUCGUUCUUAGAUUAUUAGGCUAGAUGUUGGGAUUUUAUUUCCUAGAUAGUAAGUUUUAAAAAUAUGGAUUAAAUCUUAGUUUAGUGUGUCCUAACACCCACUGACCACCGUACACACAGAACCGUACGGACAACACUAGAAUGGUCUGCCUGGGAGCUGAGGAGCUCUUUUUUUUUUGGUAGUUGUGGAUCACUGCUGAGCUACUUCAGUACUUCUAGAUGGUAUGGUAUGGAUGGAUGGAUGGAUGGGCAAGGAAAGGACGAAGAGAAAAUAUAUGGCCAUGAUGGCUGGCAGACAGGGUAGCUAGCCGGCCGUUGGCAGAAGCCGCGGCAGAGUUGAGUGAGUGACAGCUAACUGGCUGCUUGUCCCAGCCGUCGAUGACGAUGAAGUGUGGUGUUUUUCU